CCCCAUAUUAUAUUACCCCAUUUACCGGACAGACGUACCGAGCAAAUAAUAUUGAGUGAUAUUUCUUUUACUUUUAGAAGGUUUAAAACUCCUGGCGAAAAUGAUGACAUAUAAAAGCAAUUUAUUUUUUACUGUAUCAGUAUUGUUAGCAUUGGUCGCUUUUGUCCCAGGACCGCUUACUUUAGCUGUAGAAGAAAUACUGUGUGAUGAUAAAAGAUGCUUGACAGUUAACUCUUCGCUGAUUAAUAAAACCUACUAUGGUUUAUUUCAUACAGAAGAAGAAAUUGACAUCAUACUAAGAAGAUGGGGAUUAAAACAUGAAAUUUAUCGCCCAUCUCCUGGAUCACUCGUGUAUAAAGUUUGUUCUAUUCCUUUGUUCAGUUCCAUGACAUCCUGUUCGAAAUUCGGAAUUCCACCAAAAAGUUCACCUGCGGGAAGUUUAGAUUAUGAUUUGUGUUGUCCAAUGUCUUUGGGUCACUAUGGAAAUCAGACUUUAGUUAAUAUACACGGAAAACUCCAAACACUUGUAUUCCUCGAAAAGUCCAACAUGAAACAGUUUAUUCCCAUUGCCGAAUGUCUGGACGAUGGUGCAUGUUUUAGCGGAUUAGGAAUGUGUCAGACAGAUACUGUUGUGUUUCCACUGUUGGUAGUCGAUAUACAACUUUGGCCGCCGUGUAGAUUUGAUGAAUUUGAACUCCCUGUCUACUGUUCGUGCAAAACGAAAGAAAGAAAUUAAUCUAAAAUGUACAUAGAUAACUGUCCGCAAGCUAUGGAAAUCCAUCAGAAAUAGGUUGUGGUUAUAUAGAAUUUUCACCAGUAAAGCGGAAACAACACGAUAGUUUUGCGGUGAAUAAUUAGAUCUAUGAUUUUUUGGGUAUUUGAAUUGUUGAUAGUUAAUAUUAAAUAGUGUAUACGUUUGGAAAUACCUGUAAAGCGAAAUAAGCUCUGGCAAAAGGAAAUAACCUAAACUUAAGACAAUCCAUUAAAACGAUAUUACAAAAAAUGAAACGAAAUCCUCGGAAGCGAAAUAAGAAAAAUAUGAGUUACUUAGAAAUGAACUAACAUAUAUUGUAAAACUAAAUACAUGAUAAUGCACACAUAUGAAGGUUCGACCGGGGAGAGGGUAGAAACUAUUAACUUGGGAGCAGAUUAACCAUUUAAAAUGAGGGCAAGGGCGCAAUGGUCUACCGCGUGCUCUUUAGAUCAUAAGGUCUACCAUCGAUUCAAAUGGUGUGGUUUCGAUCCUAGGUAUGGUCGCUUGCUUUACCUCAUGGGUUUAAUCCCGCCGCUAAAGACCAAUACACACAAGUGAAUUAUUGAUAGUAACAUUGUACAGUGUUAGUCAUGACUUAUGAGGCAGAAUGUUUGCACUCUCUAGAAAAUAUGCUACUACUUUGCUUAUCAAACAAACAUUUAUCUGAAAAUUCCACGUUAUAUUUAUUUGGUAUUUUGUAUUCAUCUCCCUGUUUACGCUUGUAUAUAUAAUUUUCGAACAAUUAAUUUUAUCGAUGCAAUUUGCUAGUCUUUGUUUCGUAAAUACCUCUGUUGAGUUUGUAAUUUGCUGCUGGUUGUUUCAUUCUUCACAUUUAUCACCUUUUCGUGGCCACUGUUAUUUUGAUUCUCUGAAUAAAGUCUUGAAAUCUUAAUUAAAA